rnacentral:rRNA from 1 species
ACGGGAGGCAGCAGCUAAGAAUAUUCCGCAAUGGACGAAAGUCUGACGGAGCGACGCCGCGUGGAUGAUGAAGUCCGGAAGGUUGUAAAAUCCUUUUAUGACUGAGGAAUAAGUGGAGUGAGAGAAACGUUUCAUGGUGACUUUAGGUCAUGAAUAAGCAACGGCUAAUUACGUGCCAGCAGCCGCGGUAACACGUAAGUUGCGAGCGUUGUUCGGAAUUAUUGGGCGUAAAGGGCAUGUAGGCGGUUUUGCAAGCUUGGUGUGAAAGGCAGGAGCUGAACUCCUGGACUGCGUUGAGAACUGCAAGACUUGAGUCACUGAGGGGCAAUCAGAAUUCCUGGUGUAGGGGUGAAAUCUGUAGAUAUCAGGAAGAAUACCAAUGGCGAAGGCAGGUUAACAGCAGACGACUGACGCUGAGGUGCGAAGGUGCGGGGAGCAAACAGGAUUAGAUACCCUGGUA